AGGACGACGAGGACUCGAGCAGCGCCGACAGCAGCAGCCAGCGGGGAGUCCCCGCCGCGCUGCGCCAGCCUGCGGGGGUCCCCCGCGCAGCAGAAGAAGAAUGGAGUGGCGAUGGGAAGCCGAGGUCAUCUGGCGACCAAUCAGGAGGCGGCGGAGGCGGAAGCCGCGAUGACUCUGAGCUGAGAGGGCGCGGCGGCGGGGGCGGAGGAGG